rnacentral:rRNA from 1 species
UACGAAGGGGGCGAGCGUUGUUCGGAUUUACUGGGCGUAAAGGGCGCGUAGGCGGCCCUCUUUGUCGCGUGUGAAAGCCCCGGGCUCAACCUGGGAAUUGCGCGCGAAACGGGGGGGCUGGAGUUCGGGAGAGGAGCGUGGAAUUCCCAGUGUAGAGGUGAAAUUCGUAGAUAUUGGGAAGAACACCGGUGGCGAAGGCGGCGCUCUGGACCGAGACUGACGCUGAGGCGCGAAAGCGUGGGGAGCAAACAG